rnacentral:rRNA from 1 species
CGGGACGGGUGAGUAAUGUCUGGGAAACUGCCUGAUGGAGGGGGAUAACUACUGGAAACGGUAGCUAAUACCGCAUAACGUCGCAAGACCAAAGAGGGGACCUUCGGGCCUCUUGCCAUCGGAUGUGCCCAGAUGGGAUUAGCUAGUAGGUGGGGUAACGGCUCACCUAGGCGACGAUCCCUAGCUGGUCUGAGAGAAUGACCAGCCACACUGGAACUGAGACACGGUCCAG